UCGAGGGGCAUCAGGAAGAAAGCUUGCUUUCUUUGCUGGCGACCGGCGCNACGGGUGAGUAACACGUAUCCAACCUGCCCUUUACUCGGGGAUAGCCUUUCGAAAGAAAGAUUAAUACCCGAUAGCAUAAUGAUUCCGCAUGGUUUCAUUAUUAAAGGAUUCCGGUAAAGGAUGGGGAUGCGUUCCAUUAGGUUGUUGGUGAGGUAACGGCCCACCAAGCCUUCGAUGGAUAGGGGUUCUGAGAGGAAGGUCCCCCACAUUGGAACUGAGACACGGUCCAAACUCCUACGGGAGGCAGCAGUGAGGAAUAUUGGUCAAUGGGCGUUAGCCUGAACCAGCCAAGUAGCGUGAAGGAUGAAGGCUCUAUGGGUCGUAAACUUCUUUUAUAUAAGAAUAAAGUGCAGUAUGUAUACUGUUUUGUAUGUAUUAUAUGAAUAAGGAUCGGCUAACUCCGUGCCAGCAGCCGCGGUAAUACGGAGGAUCCGAGCGUUAUCCGGAUUUAUUGGGUUUAAAGGGAGCGUAGGUGGACUGGUAAGUCAGUUGUGAAAGUUUGCGGCUCAACCGUAAAAUUGCAGUUGAUACUGUCAGUCUUGAGUACAGUAGAGGUGGGCGGAAUUCGUGGUGUAGCGGUGAAAUGCUUAGAUAUCACGAAGAACUCCGAUUGCGAAGGCAGCUCACUGGACUGCAACUGACACUGA
rnacentral:rRNA from 1 species